UACGGAGGGGGCGAGCGUUGUUCGGAAUCACUGGGCAUAAAGGGCGCGUAGGCGGCUUUUCAAGUCAGGGGUGAAAUCCGGCAGCUCAACUGUCGAAGUGCCCUUGAUACUGAUGAGCUCGAGGGAGGUAGGGGUGUGUGGAACUUCCGGUGGAGCGGUGAAAUGCGUUGAUAUCGGAAGGAACGCCGGUGGCGAAAGCGACGCACUGGACCUCUUCUGACGCUGAGGCGCGAAAGCUAGGGGAGCAAACGGG
rnacentral:rRNA from 1 species